rnacentral:rRNA from 1 species
UGGGCAACCUGCCCUCAGCUCUGGGAUAACUCCAAGAAAUUGGGGCUAAUACCGGAUAUGACCGCUGACCGCAUGGUCUGGUGGUGGAAAGAUUUAUCGGCUGGGGAUGGGCCCGCGGCCUAUCAGCUUGUUGGUGGGGUAGUGGCCUACCAAGGCGACGACGGGUAGCCGGCCUGAGAGGGUGACCGGCCACACUGGGACUGAGACACGGCCCAGACUCCGUACGGGAG